UUGAACGCUGGCGGCAGGCCUAACCCAUGCAAGUCGAGCGGAUGAAGGGAGCUUGCUCCUGGAUUCAGCGGCGGACGGGUGAGUAAUGCCUAGGAAUCUGCCUGGUAGUGGGGGAUAACGUCCGGAAACGGGCGCUAAUACCGCAUACGUCCUGAGGGAGAAAGUGGGGGAUCUUCGGACCUCACGCUAUCAGAUGAGCCUAGGUCGGAUUAGCUAGUUGGUGGGGUAAAGGCCUACCAAGGCGACGAUCCGUAACUGGUCUGAGAGGAUGAUCAGUCGCACUGGAACUGAGACACGGUCCAGACUCCUACGGGAGGCAGCAGUGGGGAAUAUUGGACAAUGGGCGAAAGCCUGAUCCAGCCAUGCCGCGUGUGUGAAGAAGGUCUUCGGAUUGUAAAGCACUUUAAGUUGGGAGGAAGGGCAGUAAGUUAAUACCUUGCUGUUUUGACGUUACCAACAGAAUAAGCACCGGCUAACUUCGUG
rnacentral:rRNA from 1 species